UUUGCCAAAAACUUCAGGUACAGAUUAGAAUUACAUGUCAAGGAUGAAAGUGGCAGCACAAUAUUUGUGGUAUUUGACAAGGAAGCAGAGAAAAUUGUUCGUAUUCCUGCUACACAAGUCUAUACUACGGAAAUAAACGAUGAGGAUGAUGAUGAGGAUGUUGUUCCAAAGCCAAUAAAGAAUUUACUUGGAAAAACAUACAUGUUCCAGAUAAAAAUCAAUCCAAACAACAUUUUGACUACAAAACAAAAUUUCACAGCCAUUCAUGUGUUUGAAGAUCAUGAGUAUAAGCAGUUGCAACAUGAACAGGAGGAGAAAAAUCAGAUUCUUCCCCUGAAACGAGCCAUUGAUGUGGAUGUUGAGAUUGAAAGAGAAGUUCCUAAAGCUAAAAGAAAUGGAAAGUUAAGUAUAAUUGAAAAUUUUUUUGAACACAUUUUUCGAAAAAAAAAAAAAAAAAAAACCUAAUAUGAUGCGAAUUUGAAUUUACCUAACCAUCCAUAUCUUUUAGAGCUAUGGUGGUAGUUGAUAUUGU